rnacentral:rRNA from 1 species
GUGUCAGCCGCCGCGGUAAUACGUAGGGUGCGAGCGUUAAUCGGAGUUACUGGGCGUAAAGCGUGCGCAGGCGGUUAUGUAAGACAGAUGUGAAAUCCCCGGGCUCAACCUGGGAACUGCAUUUGUAACUGCAUGGCUAGAGUACGGUAGAGGGGGAUGGAAUUCCGCGUGUAGCAGUGGAGUGCGUAGAUAUGCGGAGGAACACCGAUGGCGAAGGCAAUCCCCUGGACCUGUACUGACGCUCAUGCACGAAAGCGUGGGGAGCAAACAGGAUUAGAAACCCCCGUAGUCC